GAUGGGCCCCAGAGAUUCCCCUCCGCGCACACAAGGCCCAACACGUCCCCGUCCAGAUUCAUCCACCCUCCCCCUUUCCCUUCGUCUCCGUCCGCUCCCGGCAUCGUCCCCUCUUCCCCGUCUCGCGUUCGUCGCCCACGGGCUUCGAUUGAUCUUCUUCCGGUGCUGGUGGCAGGUGGACGGAUCGUGUCCUUGCUUGGCCGCCCACAGCAGCAAUGGACGACGGGGACCUGGACUUCUCCAACCCGGACACGUACCUGUGCCCGGCGCUCGGCACUGACCCGCCCAGCAGCUGCUCCAUGGACAGCUACUUCGACGAGAUCCUCAAGGACACGGAGCACCACGCCUGCACGCACACCCACACCUGCAACCCGCCGGUGCACGACCUAUCGCACACCCACACCUGCGUCCACGUCCACACCAAGAUCGUCGCGGCCUCGCCCGGCGACGACACUGCCGACUCGCCGUCCGAGAACAACACCAACGGCAGCGGCGGCAACGGCAGCAACGCCGCCUCCAAGAAGCGCCCCUCGGGGAACCGCGCCGCCGUCAGGAAGUACCGGGAGAAGAAGAAGGCCCACACCGCGUCGCUGGAGGAGGAGGUGGUCCAUCUCAGGGCGCUCAACCAGCAGCUCGUGAAGAAGCUCCAGAGCCACGCCGCGCUCGAGGCGGAGGUGGCCAGGCUCCGAUGCCUGCUCGUCGACAUCAGGGGCAGGAUCGAGGGGGAGAUUGGCGCGUUUCCGUACCAGAGGCCGCCGCCAGCGGCCAAGAACGUCGACCUCGUGUCCGGUGUUGACCAGGGAGGGUUCCUUGCCGGGGCUGCUGCCCAGGUUACCAGUUCCUGUGAUUUCAGAUGCAACGAUCAGAUGUACUGCAGCCCUGGAAUGCAGGGCGCUGUUAGCGGCCAGGUGUUGGGACAAGGUGCCUGCGAUGUCUCGAGUAUCCAAUGCGUUGGAAGCACCAGGUCUGCGUCCACUAAGCUACCUGUCUGCGGGGGGAUGGAUGCAGUACCUGCUGCCUGCUUGCCAAAUGUUCAAAACAAGUGACGGAUUAUAUAACUGAAGAAGAAUAUAACUCGGCUCUCUUGUCGCCGAGCCAUUGUUUUGUGGUUCCAUUGGUUUCCUUCUGUCUGGCUGAAUGCAAUUUUGAGUGAAUUGCCAUCUAAUUGUCAACGAUGAAGAUCAGAUUUGCUUCUGUCCCAUCCUGUCAAUCCAGAGCUAGACUUGCUCUUGUCUAUUUUCAGCCGGAUGUCUUGUGCCCCUUUUAAAGGCAUUGCUAGUCUUGUUGACACACCAGAAACUAAGAUGCUCUGUAUGAAUCAACUGGCUGUUUAUUCUCUGAGAUUUGAGAAAAAUUCUUAUUAGCCUUCUUAAGUCUAUUUAUCAUGAUUAUUGUGUAAUCAUGGUGUAUGUUGUUGUUUAUUCAUUUUGCUGUGGCCUAUUCAAUUUGUUGUGGCCUGAUUGAAUGUAUUUUUAGUGAAUCGGCAUCUUAUCAUGGAAGGGCAGGCCUGAUGCACGGGAUUUGUCUUACUGAGUCACCAGGUCGCGGGUUCUAAGCAGGGAGGCUUGCCUCGGUUUAUCCCUUCCCUAGACCUCACUCAUGUGGGAGCCUCCGACACUGGUUACUGGACUGCUGUGAGUCGUUGGUAGAAUUUGUUAAUGAAUGUUCGUACUGCUCAGAUCUUGCAAUGGAACUUAUUCAAGAAAAAAAAACAGGAUAUGAUGUCUUAUUCUUCAAAUAGUCCUAAGGACUCCCGGCAGUGUUUAUGGUCCCUUCCUUUUCAGAGACUGCUGGGACUUCCCGUUCUGCCUCGAAGGAACGCUGUAUAAACCGCUAGCUUUUCUAUGUAGGGCCGAAUCUGGUUCAAACUGCUACGUGUGUGAGUUCGUCGUCGCCGAUGAUGCUUCUAUAGUGCCUGAGGCGAUUCAAGUUUGUUAGCUCUAGAGCUGAUAGGAUAUCCUCGUUUACUUUGCUUAGUUCUCAGAUGCUCUCCGUCUCCGAUGAAGUGCAGCAACUGAACCGGAUCCGAAGGAGUUGGACAUGAACAGGUUAAAAUUUGGCAUAUGUGGUCUAAGAAGACGCUGAGAUGUUUGUAGCGAAUCUCAAGUUCAAUGCGAACCCUGUUGCCUAUGUAUAUUCACAUCCUUUGUGUAGGUGUCA